AGAGAAAGGUGGAAGUCUGGCGGAAGGCGGAAGUCAACAACAGCAGCAGGGCAAGGCCUGGGCUACUUUGAAGCGGCAAGCCUUGGAGCAACGGACCAGGUCAGCUGCACGGAGAGGAGAGGCAGAGCAAGGGGCCAAAGCUCCAAGCCUCUCCUCCCGAGUGGCUGCCAGUUGGUCUUUAAUAGUUAAGCCAAGAGAAAGAAAGAAACCAUGAGUCUCCCAGGGAACGGGUCUUUCUAGACGCCAUCAUUCUGCUUACUCACGACAGGGCGCCAGUCUUGAGCUGAGCUUCAGUAAUUGGUUUUUGCAGCCACAAACACAUCCAGCAAGGAAGAUGUGAGAAGCCCAGGGCUCUCUCACUCUGCUUUUUGAAAUGGCUUUUGCUGCAGAUGGGAAAUGCCAUCCCACUCCGAGUUGGCAGGUCCUGAGGUCAAACCUUACAGAGCUGGCACCUAAAAACCCCAAGGCAAGGAGGAGCAGGUGGCUUUGGAAGAGUAAAUGACCCUGAAGAUUGCUGGAAGGAGGACCUGUGACAAAUUCAAAGAACCAUCAAGGAUAUCCUGGACACAGCUGUCCUGUUUUACCAAGACUACUUAUUGAAGAGAUGAUAUGUUUUCCUGCCUCCUCUGCCUUAGAUCAAUUAACCG